CAUGGCUGUCGUCAGCUCGUGUCGUGAGACUGUGGGUUAAGUCCCGCAACGAGCGCAACCCUUGCCUUUAGUUGCCAGGCAGUUCGGCUGGGCACUCUAAAGGGGACUGCCGGGUGUUAAACCGGAGGAAGGUGGGGAUGACGUCAAGUCCUCAUGGCCUUUAUGACCAGGGCUACACACGUACUACAAUGGCCGAUACAAAGGGCAGCGACACUGCGAGGUGAAGCCAAUCCCGUAAAAUCGGUCUCAGUCCGGAUUGGAGUCUGCAACUCGACUCCAUGAAGUUGGAAUCGCUAGUAAUCGUGGAUCAGCAUGCCACGGUGAAUACGUUCCCGGGCCUU
rnacentral:rRNA from 1 species